rnacentral:rRNA from 1 species
CCUACGGGCGGCAGCAGUGAGGAAUAUUGGUCAAUGGGGGGAACCCUGAUCCAGCGACGCCGCGUGAGUGAAGAAGUAUUUCGGUAUGUAAAGCUCUGUCAGCAGGGAAGAAAGCAAUGCCGGUACCUGACCACGAAGCCCCGGCUAACUACGUGCCAGCAGCCGCGGUAAUACGUAGGGGGCAAGCGUUAUCCGGAAUUACUGGUUGUAAAGGGAUCGUAGACGGCUGUGCAAGUCUGGAGUGAAAGGCGGGGGGCCAACCCCCGGACAGCUCUGGAAACUGUAUGGCUGGAGUGCAGGAGAGGUAAGCGGAAUUCCUAGUGUAGCGGUGAAAUGCGUAGAUAUUAGGAGGAACACCAGUGGCGAAGGCGGCUUACUGGACUGUAACUGACGUUGAGGCUCGAAAGCGUGGGGAGCAAACAGGAUGAGAUACCCUUGUAGUC